GAUGAACGCUGGCGGAGUGCCUAACACAUGCAAGUCGAGCGGCAGCGCGAAGAAUUUAUUCUUUGGCGGCGAGCGGCGGACGGCUGAGUAACGCGUGGGAACGUGCCCCAAAGUGAGGAAUAACUGCCCGAAAGGGUAGCUAAUGCCGCAUAUGAUCUUCGGAUUAAAGCUUUUAAGCGCUUUGGGAGCGGCCUGCGUCCGAUUAGAUAGUUGGUGAGGUAAUGGCUCACCAAGUCUACGAUCGGUAACUGGUUUGAGAGGAUGAUCAGUCAGACUGGAACUGAGACACGGUCCAGACUCCUACGGGAGGCAGCAGUGAGGAAUCUUCCACAAUGGGGGAAACCCUGAUGGAGCAACUCCGCGUGCAGGAUGAAGGCCUUCGGGUCGUAAACUGCUUUUAUGAGUGAAGAAUAUGACGGUAACUCAUGAAUAAGGGUCGGCUAACUACGUGCCAGCCGCCGCGGUAAUU
rnacentral:rRNA from 1 species